ACAGAGGAGGAUCCAGGCCAGAGGGGAAGGCGGCUGGACAGAGGAGGCCCCAGACCAGAGGGGAAGGUGGCUGGACAGAGGAGGCCCCAGACCAGAGGGGAAGGUGGCUGGACAGAAGAGGAUCCAGGCCAGAGGGGAAGGCGGCUGGACAGAGGAGGCCCCAGACCAGAGGGGAAGGAGGCCCUGCGGAGAAAUCGCCCUGGGGCCCCUGGAGGAGAUGGACGGUAGUGGGCAUUGAUUUGAUAAGCCUGUUCACGCAGCCCUGUCCAUCCCCCGCCGUGUUCUGCUGACAGAGAAGUGAACAAACCCAGGAAGUGUCCUGUCCCCCCAGAGGAGGUUAGUACAACAAGCAAACGCACACUCCACGGGAUCCCCGGAACGGCGAGGGCACUGGGGAGAGACAGAGAAACAACGGCAAGAGCACGAAGGGACGUUGAGCAGAAAGGGCAGAGCCUGUCAUAUUUUUCAGAAAGAUUCUACAGAAAACAAAUGGAACCACCUUGGGAGCUAUCGAGGCCAAACAGAAUAAUAAGUGUGAGCUGUACUCCUGUGUGAACUUACCCAUCCCCACUUCCUCCUCCUACCUGUGGAUUUCUGACAAGGAUAAUUUCCAUACGUGCACCCAAGUCUUGAUCAAUUAGUUCCAAUUUAAUGGUCAUGUAUCCUCCAAAAUUCGUAUGUUGAAGUCCUGAGCCCUGGAACCUGGCCUGGGAGCUUACUAGGGAAAUGUGGACACUGUCAUGCACACGGGGAGAAGACCGCGUGAGGAUACAUGCAAAGAGCGGCUUGGUGUCUCCACAAGACGAAGAAUGCUGAAGAUUGCCGAAAACCUCCAGCUGGGUGCCGGGAGAGGGUCACGCCCUCCUCGCAGUCCUCAGCUGGACUCCGGCCUGCAGACGCUCUGGCUCAGACUUUUGGCCUCUGGAACUAUCAGGGAACAAUUUUUCCAUCGCUCAAGCCACCAAGUCUGUGGUACUUCGUUACAGCUGCCUUAGCAAACUACUAUACAUUUCAACCGCAAUAGAGUCAAGCUGCAGAAUACAUUUGAAAAAGAGAAGGUGGGCCGUGAUAGGAUGGCCACGUUAUCCCCUCUUUAAAAAUUUAUCAUUUUUUCAUGGCAAAAGAGGACUCUGUGUACACAUAGCAAAAUUGAGAGAAUCCAGUGCCCAAAUCACCGAGAAAUUCACACUGUGAUCAGCUGAACACCAAGCACUCGGGCCAGUCCUUACUUGGGGCAUCUUUAAUUCUCACACGUGCAAGGUCCACGCCAUCCCCCCACUUUGCUCGGGAGGAAACCAGGCCUCGGAGCAGGAGGGGGGAUCUCGGGCCGCAGAGGGAGUGAGUCCGGAGCCCAGGGUUGGACCUGAGCUUGAUGGGCCUUAUCAAAUUAAGAAUUUCUACUGCAAAUUCAGCUGCAAUUCUGGACGCUUACUCCCAACCUUUAUUAGAGUAUGCAGGGUCUACUCGGUUAAGGUAAAAUGUGCAGUAGCUAAAAUGACAUUGGGGACAGGUUGGAUGGUGUGUGGUGCUUAGAAUGUAAAAAAGAAAAAAUAAGGGCAUAUUGAAUGUGUGUGUGUGAGCGUGUGUAAACAUGUGUAUGUAUAUGUGAAUGUGUAUAUGUAUGUGUGUGUGUGUGAGUGUAUGUAUGUGUGUGAAUGUGUGUGUAUGUGUGAGUGUGUGUGUGUGUGUAGUGGCUGCCACUGGUCUGAGUUUGGAAUACAAGGCAGACGAGCUCCUAAUAAAAGUACUAUUCUCUGUGAGACUGUGCAGAGCAUGGCAGAACUUCUUCAAUCUGUGUUUUAUCAUCUGAAGGGUAGAAGGAAAGUUCUGCUCUAGAAUAGCCUCAGUGACAUCUAGUGAUUCUGUACUCUGAAGUCAAUUUAUCACAUCAAAUGGAUUUUCCUGGAUAAGAAAUAUUUUUUUUUACUUACUUUUUAUACAGGAUAUUUGUGUUACUUUGGAAUUUCUAAGGUUUUUUAUGAUAGCAAUACAAUUUAAACCCCACAUAUUCCCAUAAUAUUUUUAAUAAUAUUAAAACUUACAUUUUGUGUAUGACAUUUGACCAUAAGAACACGAUGUGUAAGUUAUGACACUUAGUGAAUAAAUAGUCCUCCUCUGGCUACAUUUGUCUCAUCCAUAAAGUAAGAGAAAACUUGAUUUUCUUCUAACUUCAGCAUAUGGUGUAUUAAAAGAAUUUUUAAUAUAUAUAUAUUUAAUUUUUAAGUAUGGGUAUAUAAUAGUUGUAUGUAUUUAUAGGGUUUAUGUGAUGUUUUCAUACAGGUAUAUAAUGUGUGUCAAUCAAAAGAGGGUAAUAGGUAUAUCCAUCACCUCAAGCAUUUAUCAUUUCUUGUGUUUGAAAUUUUCGAAUUCCAUUCUUUUAGUUAAAGUACACCUCAACUUAUUGUUGAUUACAGCCACUUUGUUGUACUAUCAAAUAUUGCUCAUCCUAUCCAACUAUAUUUUUGCACCCAUGAACCAUCCCCAUUCUAUCUCACCCCCUGCCCUCCCUGGCCGCUGCUAACCCUUAUUCUACUCUCUGUGUCCGUGAGAUCAAUGGUAUGAGUGAGAACAUGUGGGUUUGUCUUUCUGUGCUUGGCUUAUUUCACUCAGCAUCAUAUGCCCCAGUUCUUGCAAAUGGCAGGAUUUCAUUCUUUUUUAUGGCUAUGUGAUAUUCCUUUGUGUAUAUGUAGCAAAAUUUCUUCAUUUCUUCAUCUAUUGAUACACAGGCUGAUUCCAACUAUUGGCGAUUGUGACUAGUACUGCAAUUAUGCUGUAUUUUAAGGUGGACUUUUAUUUAAGUGCAAAACAUUAUUAUUAUUGUUGUUGUUAUUAUUUGGGGCUGGGCAGGGUUUGAACCCACCACUUCUGGGAUAUGGGGCCAGUGCCCUACUCCUUUGAGCCAUAGGCGCCAUUCAAAACGUUAUUAUUUUAAAUACUAAUUGAAAUCUUACUUUUAUCUUCUGUUACAUAUUCUACAUUUAAUUUUUUUAUUUUUGUGGAGACAGAGUCUCACUAUGUCACCCUUGGUAGAGUGCCAUGAUGUCACAGCCCACAGCAACAUCAAACUCCUGGGCUUAAGAGAUUCUCUAGCCUCAGCCUCCCAGUAGCUGGGACUACAGGCACCCACCACAAUGCCCAGUUACUUUUUUUUGUUGCAGUUGUCUUUGUUGUUUAGCUGGCCCAGGCUGGGUUCGAACCUGCCAUCCUCGGUGUAUGUGGCUGGCACUGUCACCACUGUGCUAUGGGCACCGAGCCCUAAUUUAAUUUUUAAAAUUAAAUCAUAGCUGUGUACAUUAAUGCAAUCAUGGGGUACAAUGUGCUGGUUUUAUAUACAAUUUGAAAUAUUUCCAUCCAACUGGUUAACAUAGCCUUCACAGCAUUUUCUUAGGUAUUGUAUUAAGACCUUUGUAUUCUACAUUUAGCAAAUUUCACACGUAUCCUUGUAAGAUGCACCAUAGGUGUGGUCCCACCAAUUUCCCUCCCUCCACCCAACCUCCCCCCUCCCCUUCCCUCCCUCUCCCUUUUCCCCUUAUUCUUGGGCUAUAAUCGGGUUAUAGCUUUUAUAUGAAUUAAUUUUUUAAUCUAUUGGCUUUCUCCUUACUCCUGAGAAGUUAGUAAGGCAAACAAACAAACAAACAAACAAAAAUCACAUCAGGUGCUUCAUUUAAAUUUUGUCAUGUCUACAUAAAAUCCAGCAAAUUCGUUGUAUGUUAACAGCCCACAAUGGUGGCAUAUUUAUUCACACUCUUCUUGCCUAUAUUUUAAGAUACCUGGUAUUUUUGUUCUAAAGACAUGACUUUUAAGCAUUACUUUUGUUCUUAUUUUGUUAUAUAACCGUGUAUGUGAAUAACUAUGAGAAACCUUGAAAGUUUUCUCUUUAGGGAAUAGAGAGUUUCUUUAAACCACUUUUACAACAGCAUUUAUUGCUCUGUUUCCUCCAGGUGUGUGAUUCCUAAUUUACUAAUACAAGUUCUCUGAUGAGCUGUCUAGGGGCCUCUAACCCGUUCCUAUCUUCAGUACUGCCCCACUAAUUAUUGGGCUUGCAGCCUGACAAAGUGUUCCAAAUAAACCUCCUCUGUUCAUCCAGACUCCCGGGAAAGAGCUGGGAAACCAAUCAAGGCUCAGACGCCCAGGUCUGCCCAGGGCUCCCACUUGCUGUAACAUCCCCUGACACCACCAUUUUCCACAGUGAGAUAGACGGAGUGGAAAAUAAUACUAAUCUUCAAGAACAGAAUUCACGCAUUAUUGGUCUCAGAAAACCUGUCAUUUAAAAACAAUUUACCACCGCAAACUGGGUGCCAUUUUAGAGAAACACAAAAUAGAACAGAAGAAAUGUGUUUUCUAGUGAUUCAGCUGGUUGGUUCCAGCAAAGGCAUUCCACUGGGCUAUCAGUUUGAGAGACGCCACUAACCUGCACUGUUCUGAGCACAGGCUGGAGCCAUCAGGAGAAAACCAGCUGGUGGUCAUUGGUUGCCUAAAUUAUUUUCUAGAUAUUUAUUUUUUAACUAAAAUAGGUUGCUUUCAUGGAAUUUUGUAUUCUAAUAAAUAUAUAAAAAUCAAAACUGGAUUAAAAAUUAUUAAAUCAAGUUUAUGAAUUAUUUUUAAAUUUUCCAUUUCUGAUGAUGAAAGCUAUGUCCAGCAGCCUUGAACAUUGCAGCAGAAAGUUUGGUUACAAAAUACCAUAGACUGGGUGGAUAAAAAGAAGCAUUUAUUUCACACAGUUCUGCAGGUGGGGAAGGCUGAGACCAGGGUGCUGGCAGAGUUGGUGUCUGCUGAGGGCUCACUUCCUGGUUUGCAGACGGCCGCCUUCUUGCUGUGUCUUCACGUUAUGAGUAGGGUGGGGAGUGGAGGGGGUGGGGAAGGAGAGUGGUCUGGAGUCUUCCUCUUCUUAUGAGGACACUAAUCCCAUCAGGGGACUUCACUCACAUGACUUCAUCUAAACCUAGUUGCUUCCUAACUGCCCCACCUCCUGAUAGCAGUGGAAUAUUAAACAUUUCUGCUCUUAAAAUUUCAUUGACCACUCUCUCCACUCCCUCUAAUCCUCCCUUCUGAUCUCCCCCUUCCUGUCCUGUCAGAAGAAAAUGAGACAUCUCCCACCCUUUAAAACUUCAUUCCAUUUACAUCCUUCGUAUUAACCUGGAUGGAAGUGGAAGACAUUAUUCUUAGUAAAGCAUCACAAGAAUGGAGAAGCAUGGAUCCUAUGUACUCAAUUUUGAUAUGAGGACAAUUAAUGACAAUUAAGGUUAUGGGGGGGAGGAAAAGCAGGGAGAGGAAAGGAAGGAGGGGGUGGGGCCUUGGUGUGUGCCACACCUUCUGGGGGCGGGACAUGAUUGCGGGAGGGACUUUACCUGAUGAAUGCAAUCAGUGUAACCUG